CUACGGGAGGCUGCAGGCGCGAAACCUCUUCAAUGCACGACAGUGUGAAAGGGGGAUCCUACGUGCUUAUGUACAACAUAGGCUUUUGUAUAGUGUAAAUAGCUAUGCGAAUAAGGGGUGGGAAAGACCGGUGCCAGCAGCCGCGGUAACACCGGCGCCCCAAGUGGCAAUCAUAAUUACUGGGCCUAAAGCAUCCGUAGCCGGAUUAGUAAAUUUCCUGUGAAAUCUUUCAAGUCAACUGGAAGGCGUGCAGGAAAGACUGCUAAUCUAGAGACCGGGAGGAGUUAGAGGUAUUCUGAGGGGAGCGGUAAAAUGUGAUAAUCCUCGGAAGACCACCGAUGGCGAAGGCAUCUAACUAGAACGGAUCUGACGGUGAGGGAUGAAGGCUAGGGGAGCAAAACGGAUUAGAUACCCCCGUAGUC
rnacentral:rRNA from 1 species